rnacentral:tRNA from 1 species
GAUCCGGUAGUUCAGCUGGUUAGAAUGCGGCCCUGUCACGGCGGAGGUCGCGGGUUCGAGUCCCGUCCGGAUCG